ACCUGAUGAUGUGGGCAUUAACAAAGUAGGUCCCUGAAACGCUCCCAGGUCUCAAAGAAAAGUUCCCCAUCCAUCUAUGUGAAACUUGUGAUUGUCCUUCGUAGCU